rnacentral:sRNA from 2 species
CGCUCCGUCCUAGGGGAGUAGUCUCCCGCGAGCGCCAUGCUCGCCCGGCAUACGUCAACAUACUUGGUCAGCAGACCAUGGCGUAUGCGGCCCAAGCGUCCACGCAGAUGGUCGCUGGGUU